UAUUUUAAUUGUUGCGGGUUAAAAGCUCGUAGUUGGAUUCCUUGUCGAAGGCGGCCGGUCCGCACUAUGUGCGUGUAUCUCCCCUCGGUUUUGGCAUCCUCUUGGGGAACGUUUCUGUGCUUGAUUGCAUGGGGCGGGAUUCAAGACUUUUACUUUGAGGAAAUUAGAGUGUUCACGGCAAGCUAUCGCUUUGAAUACAUUAGCAUGGAAUAAUAAUAUAGGGCGUAAGUUCUAUUUUGUUGGUUUCUAGGACAUACGCAAUGAUUAAUAGGGACAAUUGGGGGCAUUCGUAUUAACGCGUCAGAGGUGGAAUUCUUAGAUUGCGUUACGACGAACUACUGCGAAAGCAUUUGCCAAGGAUUUUUUCAUUGAUCAAGAACGAAAGUCUGGGGAUCGAAGACGAUUAGAUACCGUCGUAGUCUAUACCAUAAACUAUGCCAAUUGGAGAUUGGAGGUCGUUCGUUUUAUGACUCCUUCAGCACCUUAUGAGACUCAAAAUUUUGGGGUUCCGGGGGGCGUAUGGGUCGCCAGGCUGAAACUUAAAGGAAUUGACGGCAGGGCACGACCACGAGUGGAGCCUGCCGCUUCAUUUGACUCAACACCCGAAAACUUACAGGUCCCGAGAUAGUAAGGAUUGACACUUUGAUGGCUCUUUCGUAAGUCUCUGGGUGGGGGUGCAUGGCCGUUCUUAGUUGGUGGAGUGGUUUGUCAGGUUAAUUCCGUUAACCGAGCGAGAUAGUUAACCUGCCUAACGAUGGGUGGGUGUCUUCCGGAAAUGCAUGUCACUCCUUUAAAGGGAAGUUGACGGCGAAGGGCAAGG
rnacentral:rRNA from 1 species